ACUCAAAGGAAUAGACGGGGACCCGCACAAGCAGCGGAGCAUGUGGUUUAAUUCGACGAUACGCGAAAAACCUUACCAAGACUUGACAUUCUAGUGCAUAGCCGCGAAAUCGGUGAAUGGGGGAAACUCCCACUAGAACAGAUGUUGCAUGGUUGUCGUCAGCUCGUGUCGUGAGAUGUUCGGUUAAGUCCGAUAACGAGCGCAACCCUUGUCGUUAGUUGCUAACAUUAAGUUGAGAACUUUAGCGAGACUGCCAUAGAUAAUAUGGAGGAAGGAGAGGAUGACGUCAAAUCAUCAUGGCUCUUACGUCUUGGGCUACACACGUGCUACAAUGGUCGCUACAAACAGUCGCAACAUGGUAACAUGAAGCCAAUCUGAAAAAAGCGAUCCCAAUUCGGAUUGUGGGCUGCAACUCGCCCACAUGAAAUCGGAGUUGCUAGUAAUCGUGAAUCAGCAUGUCACGGUGAAUGCGUUCCCGGGUCUUGUACACACCGCCCGU
rnacentral:rRNA from 1 species